CGGGCUAUGGCGUCGGCCCAGACACGGCACGGGUAAACGGGCCGUGCCGGCACGGCCCACAGGCCGGCGUGCUGUGCCGGGCCUGGGCCUUCUACAGUGCGGUCGUGCUUGGGCCGGCCCGGCUUGGCACGGCCCAUUUGGCCAGGUAUAACUACGCCGCACAAAUCCCCACCGCCUCCUCCGCCCCCUCGCUCCUCCCCGCCGCGACAACUUCGCCCCCCAAAUCGCCCCCGCCUCCUCGCUCCUCCCUCCUCCCCCGCUGCCUCCUCGCUCCUCCUCGCCGCCCGGCGAAUCCCGCGCCUCCUCGCUUCUCCUCCACACCCACGAAUCCCCGCCGUCUCCUCGCUCCGUGCGCAUCCUCCCUCCUCGCGACGGGGCAACGAGGUCGUCCCCUUCCGCUGCCACCCCCGCUGCCCACGCCGGAGAUUAGGUCAUCCCCAGCCACCGCCGGAGCCGUGGUCUUCCUUGGAGCCGACGUCGUCCCCAGUUGCCGCUGGAGCCGAGUUCUUCCCCAUCCGCGGUGGCCGCCGAAGUCCACCGCUGCCCCCGACGAAGUCGAGGUCUUCCCCAACCGCGGCCUGCCCCCGCCAGCGCUUGAAUACACUCAACCGAUCCAACAUCCUCCACUUGCGCCGGCGAGAGCCUUCCUCCACUCCAGCGCCUCACCGUACACUCCACCGUAGCUCGGUCAUCCUUAGUCGCACACCGAUACACGAAGGCGAGGUCGGAGCCCCUGGUGCCGCCACGAGCGAGAGGCAAUUCGCCGUUGCGGCCGCGCUCGUCGCGCAAAUACCGGAACGCAAGUGGUCCCUUUCCUACCGCCGCAAGCGAGGAGUUGCGUCGCUACAUGCACCCCCAAGGUCUUCCUCCACCGAUCUGUCCUCUCGGCCCGGUAAUGCAGGAAGCUUUACAUCACCAUCGCUUGCAGUGACAAGUAAAUAAUACACAUCAUGUUCGCUUCUUUUGCAAAGCUAUUAUGCCACUGCCAGUUAAUUGCUAAUUGUAUAUCUCUGAAAUUAAUUUAUACAGAUCGAUGGGAAUACCACUAAUUUAAGUGCUCUCGAGUUAAAGAAGAUAGCAAGCUCGGAUGAGGUACGCUUUGCUCAAUUGUAAGCAGUAGCAAGCUAAGGUUCAACAGAACCAUGAGUACAAGCAGCGGAAGGAUGCAUCAAUCUACAACUGCCACAGUCUAAUAGUGGAACCCUUUCCUUGUGGGAAUUCCAUGAAAGAUAUUGGUCUCCAGAUUUUAAGAUUGGUAGAUCCUUUCGUGGCUGCCACUUCAACUGCAGAUCACGUGAACUUCUGUGGACUCACGGCAGGAGCUGUAUACACCUCAUUGGUGAUCAUGUAAAUGCUAUUUUUAGUUGCUGGCCAUGAGGGAUAUAUUUGAAGUAUUGUUGGUGAAGAUCUGAGUUUUUUUUCCUGAUAAGAUAUUGUAGGCUGUGGGGUUUAAUUCAAUACCAUAAAUACAAAUAUCUUGCUUUGAGCUUUUCAAGUGUUUAUCAAGCUAUGACAAAUUAUAUGUUUGGUAUUGUUAGCUGCUUUGCAUUUUUUUAUUGUUUAAAGGAGUAUGUUAAGUUACAUUAUAGUACAUAUAGUUCUUAAACUUUUUAGUAUG
rnacentral:lncRNA from 1 species